rnacentral:rRNA from 1 species
ACAAGUAGUCAGAGCCCGUUAAUGGGUGAUGGCGUGCCUUUUGUAGAAUGAACCGGCGAGUUACGAUUUGAUGCAAGGUUAAGCAGUAAAUGUGGAGCCGUAGCGAAAGCGAGUCUGAAUAGGGCGUUUAGUAUUUGGUCGUAGACCCGAAACCAGGUGAUCUACCCUUGGUCAGGUUGAAGUUCAGGUAACACUGAAUGGAGGACCGAACCGACUUACGUUGAAAAGUGAGCGGAUGAACUGAGGGUAGCGGAGAAAUUCCAAUCGAACCUGGAGAUAGCUGGUUCUCUCCGAAAUAGCUUUAGGGCUAGCCUCAAGUGAUGAUUAUUGGAGGUAGAGCACUGUUUGGACGAGGGGCCCCUCUCGGGUUACCGAAUUCAGACAAACUCCGAAUGCCAAUUAAUUUAACUUGGGAGUCAGAACAUGGGUGAUAAGGUCCGUGUUCGAAAGGGAAACAGCCCAGACCACCAGCUAAGGUCCCAAAAUAUAUGUUAAGUGGAAAAGGAUGUGGCGUUGCCCAGACAACUAGGAUGUUGGCUUAGAAGCAGCCAUCAUUUAAAGAGUGCGUAAUAGCUCACUAGUCGAGUGACACUGCGCCGAAAAUGUACCGGGGCUAAACAUAUUACCGAAGCUGUGGAUUGUCCUUUGGACAAUGGUAGGAGAGCGUUCUAAGGGCGUUGAAGCAUGAUCGUAAGGACAUGUGGAGCGCUUAGAAGUGAGAAUGCCGGUGUGAGUAGCGAAAGACGGGUGAGAAUCCCGUCCACCGAUUGACUAAGGUUUCCAGAGGAAGGCUCGUCCGCUCUGGGUUAGUCGGGUCCUAAGCUGAGGCCGACAGGCGUAGGCGAUGGAUAACAGGUUGAUAUUCCUGUACCACCUAUAAUCGUUUUAAUCGAUGGGGGGACGCAGUAGGAUAGGCGAAGCGUGCGAUUGGAUUGCACGUCUAAGCAGUAAGGCUGAGUAUUAGGCAAAUCCGGUACUCGUUAAGGCUGAGCUGUGAUGGGGAGAAGACAUUGUGUCUUCGAGUCGUUGAUUUCACAC